rnacentral:rRNA from 1 species
GACGAACGCUGGCGGCGUGCUUAACGCAUGCAAGUCGAACGGAAAGGCCCUGCUUUUGUGGGGUGCUCGAGUGGCGAACGGGUGAGUAACACGUGAGUAACCUGCCCUUGACUUUGGGAUAACUUCAGGAAACUGGGGCUAAUACCGGAUAGGAGCUCCUGCUGCAUGGUGGGGGUUGGAAAGUUUCGGCGGUUGGGGAUGGACUCGCGGCUUAUCAGCUUGUUGGUGGGGUAGUGGCUUACCAAGGCUUUGACGGGUAGCCGGCCUGAGAGGGUGACCGGCCACAUUGGGACUGAGAUACGGCCCAGACUCCUACGGGAGGCCGCAGUGGGGAAUAUUGCACAAUGGGCGGAAGCCUGAUGCAGCAACGCCGCGUGCGGGAUGACGGCCUUCGGGUUGUAAACCGCUUUCGCCUGUGACCAAGCGUGAGUGACGGUAAUGGGUAAAGAAGCACCGGCUAACUACGUG